rnacentral:lncRNA from 1 species
CGGGGAGGAGGACGGAGGACGGACCGGCCUCCGUCGGAGUGACCGAAAGCCAGGAAAACAAAAGGGGAGAAGAAGAGAAAGGGGGAGAUCUGCGGGGACGCGGGCUGCAGGCAGCCAGGCUGGGUUCCGGAGCCGGUCGGCGCUGCGACUUCGAACCUGGGCUGAGGGAGUUUGCUGAGCCCGAGGCUUUCUUCCCGACAAGCCGAGCCCGGGAGUCAUUGUGCUGCCCAAGUUUCCUCCGCGCCUCCGCCCCCACCCCAACUCCGCUGAGCUGUUAGGUGGGGGAGCUGCUGCCCGUCUUUCUCUCUUGGUUCCUUUUGUAGCACCCCGUUUUAUCUCAGAAGGGCGUGUGUGUGUGUGUGUGUGUGUGUUGGUUUCGUUUAAUUUCAGGAUUUUGUAGGGAAAUGGCAUGGAGGAUAAAGUCCCCCCCCCCUUCUCUCUGAGAGCCAUUUCAACAGUGCCUCAUUCUUGUAUAGUUAGCCUGCAGCUGGGUUUUUGGCAGUGAGUCUAAGAUAAUAGUAAUAUUGUAGUAAUUAUAGGAACUGGUUGAAAUACGUUCAAGCUGAAGGCAAUAUGUGAGUUUAGAGAUUUAUAUUUAAGAUUUGACUUACUGGGAUUUUUACUUAGACUAUGAACAUUUUCAUGGUUGUAAAAAUAGGCCAUUACUAUUUGAAAUGAAAUAUCUGACCGUCGUCACCCUUAAUAUCAUGUUCGUAAAUGGUAAUGAAAAAUCUUCUCUUUGAAAGACAAUUGAACACUGAUCAGAGGACUCAACUUUGAAAACCUGAAAAGUAGGACAGAAUAUGUGAAGAUUAAGAUAUAUAUACAGGUUCUUGGACUACAAUGGAAAGUAGAAAGAGACACUAGAAGUAUUUUAAGUUGUCAUUAGAUUUCUUCGGAGUUACUGUUGCCUUUUGAGCUGGCUUGAGGCUGUCCGUCAGACUGAACCGAGAAGGCAUCACUGGGUGUGAAGAUGUGCUGAGGGAGUUUGGAGUGGUAAAGUAGAGGAGAAUAAUUGAGGUAAUGAGAUUUUUGUCUAGUGCUAGCCCUCAGCAUCUCAGGUGUAGUCUGGAAGUAGUCCGAGUAUUUGUUUGAACUCAUUUAGCUGGGUUCUUUCUAGGCUGGCUUACAGGAAGGAUAACGUGAGCUGGUGAUACUGUUAAGAGAUUGAUUUGAACCGUGAACUUUACAGUUCAACUCGGAAAAUGAUUGUCGAGUACCUGUUAAGUGCCAGCCAUG